UCCCCUCAAACACACACUGAAACUUCUGCUUCAGAUUAGAUUUGAGUUUACGUUGGCACACUGCAGCAAAGGUGUUGCUCAGCAGACAGUCAAC